UACGGAGGGGGUUAGCGUUGUUCGGAAUGACUGGGCGUAAAGCGCGCGUAGGCGGAUCAGGAAGUUGGGGGUGAAUCCCGGGGCUCAACCCCGGAAUGGCCUUCAAAACUCCUGGUCUUGAGUUCGAGAGAGGUGAGUGGAAUUCCGAGUGUAGAGGUGAAAUUCGUAGAUAUUCGGAGGAACACCAGUGGCGAAGGCGGCUCACUGGCUCGACACUGACGCUGAGGUGCGAAAGCGUGGGGAGCAAACAGG
rnacentral:rRNA from 1 species